UGACGUGGAGGGCUGGAGGUGGCGGCGGCGGCGGCGGCGGCUGCUGCUGCUGCCCGCGUCCGAGGCUCGCGGGCGGCGGGCCCGGGUGAGUGCACACCCGGCGCGCUGCCGGGCUCCCGGAUGUGUCACCUUGUCCCGCUGCAGCCGAGAUGCCGGGGGAGCGGGGCCUUCCACACCCCCUCCGUGGGUGUGUGAAAUGCACUCGGUGAUGGAAAGAGAGCCACUAUUCUGAAGAACACUUGGCCAAAGGGUCAUUAUCGUUAUUGUGAUGCUCUUUCUAUGCUGGGGGAAUAUGACUGGGCCCUGCAAGCAAACAUAAAAGCUCAAAAACUCUGUAAAAAUGACCCUGAGGGAAUCAAGGAUCUAAUUCAGCAGCAUGUAAAGUUACAAAAACAAAUAGAAGACCUACAAGGUCGAACAGCAAAUAAGGAUCCAAUUAAAGCCUUUUAUGAAAACAGGGCCUACACACCUAGGAGUUUAUCAGCACCUAUAUUUACUACUUCACUUAACUUUGUGGAGAAGGAAAGAGAUUUCAGAAAAAUUAAUCACGAAAUGGCCAACGGUGGUAAUCAGAAUCUAAAGGCGGCGGAUGAGGCGUUGAAGGUAGAUGAUUGUGACUGUCAUCCUGAAUUUUCACCACCAUCAAGUCAGCCUCCAAAACAUAAAGGAAAACAAAAAUCUCGAAACAAUGAAUCAGAGAAGUUCAGUUCUAGUUCACCAUUGACUUUACCAGCAGAUUUGAAGAACAUCUUGGAGAAACAGUUUUCUAAAUCUUCCAGAGCUGAACACCAGGAUUUUGCUAAUAUAAUGAAAAUGCUGAGAAGCUUGAUUCAAGAUGG
rnacentral:sRNA from 1 species